UAGGGAAUAUUGGGCAAUGGACGGAAGUCUGACCCAGCCACGCCGCGUGCAGGAAGAAGGUCCUCUGGAUUGUAAACUGCUUUUGUACGGGAGGAAAAAGCUCUUGCGAGAGUAAUUGACAGGUACCGUAAAGAUAUAGGA
rnacentral:rRNA from 1 species